UACGUAGGGGGCAAGCGUUGUCCGGAAUCAUUGGGCGUAAAGAGCGUGUAGGCGGCCCGGUAAGUCCGCUGUGAAAGUCCAGGGCUCAACCCUGGAAUGCCGGUGGAAACUGUCGAGCUCGAGUCCGGAAGAGGCGAGUGGAAUUCCUGGUGUAGCGGUGAAAUGCGCAGAUAUCAGGAGGAACACCAAUGGCGAAGGCAGCUCGCUGGGACGGUACUGACGCUGAGACGCGAAAGCGUGGGGAGCAAACAGG
rnacentral:rRNA from 1 species